rnacentral:lncRNA from 1 species
UCUAGAAACCCUCAAUUCUUGGCAUGCAUAUAUAUGUAUAUAGUUGUUAGUUAAGGUGAGAUGAAGAACUAGCUAGGGGAUGCAGUACGUACAAAUGGAGGUGGAAGAAAGCUAAAGAGAAGACUUUGGGUAUCUAAUAUUUGUGUGUAGAUCUAGUCUAGCUUAAUCAACAUUGGCUUUGUUUUGGUUGGUGGGUAAUUAUGGGUAUUAGGGCUUGUUUAAGGAAUCAAGAAAGGAGUGGACCUUUUUUUGUGUGUUUGUAUAUAUUAUCCACCAAAUUAAUAUUCAUCUAGCUGAAUCAACUCUCUUUUUUCUUUUUGGUUGUGAAUUCUUCUUGGGUUUGGUGUUUUACUACUUAUACGAUACUAUAUAGCUUUUGUUGUUGAGGGUUUUCCAGUGAGGAAGAAGAAGAAGAGGUUGGGGAGGAAAUAGGUUUUGGGUCUUGUUUCUAAGGGUUAGACAUGUUUUGUUGGGUUGGGGUUAAAUUUUUG